AAUGCUGCUGCUGCUCCUCUGCCAACCUUUGCACUCUAAGCUGCAGCUCUCUAAACUCAAUUGGGGAGACUCCUAAAACAGCUGAAGAAGACCUAGAAGGAGCUGAAGUAGACGGUCUGGAGGAAGACUUUGGAUAUCAGAAGAAGGUGGGACAUCCUGUGUACCAUGGGCUCAUGGGGCAGGUCGCUCCUCUCUGAGUGCUGCCAAUAGAGCAUUCCUCAGUCUAUACUCUGGUCCUAGCGGACCCUGCCUACGAGUCACCAUCCCCAUACUAACCAUCUGGGG
rnacentral:lncRNA from 1 species